UACGCUGUUAUCCCUGAAGUAACUUGAUCUUAUAAUCUAUAUGAAUAGGAUCAAAAGCUAAUUAACAUUAUUUUUUUUAAUAAACAGUUACAAAAUCAAAUUUAUAUCUCUGUCGCCCCAACAAAACAGAAAAAGUGAAAAUACCUUUAACACAAUUUGUUCAGGUAACGCACAAGCCCUGUAAAGUUUCACAGGGUCUUAUCGUCCACUCAAAUCAUUUAAGCCUUUUCACUUAAAAGUAAAAUUCAAAACUUAUAUAAGAGACAACUUAUUUCUUGUCCGGCCAUUCAUUCCAGCCUUCAAUUAAAAG
rnacentral:rRNA from 1 species